AUGUCCGUGUGUGAUGCCUGUCAGCAAGGCAAGAGUCAUCAGCUACCUUUUGUUUCAUCUACUAGAGAAGUAAAGAACCCUAUUGAAAUUGUGUUUUCUGAUGUGUGGGGUCCGGCACAAACAUCUGUUAGUGGUCACAACUAUUAUGUCAGUUUUGUUGAUUCCUAUAGUCGCUUCACUUGGCUUUAUCUUCUUAAGCGCAAAUCUGAUGUGUUUGAUAUAUUCAUACAGUUUCAAUUGCAUGUUGAACGUCUACUCAAGCAUAAAAUUAUCCAUGUUCAAUCAGAUUGGGGGGCGAAUAUCGCAACCUCAACACCUUCUUUAAUAAUCUUGGGAUCUCUCAUCGUUUAUCAUGCCCACAUACACAUCAGCAGAAUGGCGCUGUUGAGCGCAAACAUCGCCAUAUAG
rnacentral:rRNA from 1 species